rnacentral:rRNA from 1 species
UCGGGAAUAUUGCGCAAUGGAGGAAACUCUGACGCAGUGACGCCGCGUGCAGGAAGAAGGUUUUCGGAUUGUAAACUGCUUUAGACAGGGAAGAAAAAAGACAGUACCUGUAGAAUAAGCUCCGGCUAACUACGUGCCAGCAGCCGCGGUAAUACGUAGGGAGCAAGCGUUAUCCGGAUUUAUUGGGUGUAAAGGGUGCGUAGACGGGAAAUUAAGUUAGUUGUGAAAUCCCUCGGCUCAACUGAGGAACUGCAACUAAAACUGGUUUUCUUGAGUGUUGGAGAGGAAAGUGGAAUUCCUAGUGUAGCGGUGAAAUGCGUAGAUAUUAGGAGGAACACCAGUGGCGAAGGCGACUUUCUGGACAGUAACUGACGUUGAGGCACGAAAGUGUGGGGAGCAAACA